GAUGAACGCUGGCGGCGUGCCUAAUACAUGCAAGUCGAGCGAACGGACGAGAAGCUUGCUUCUCUGAUGUUAGCGGCGGACGGGUGAGUAACACGUGGAUAACCUACCUAUAAGACUGGGAUAACUUCGGGAAACCGGAGCUAAUACCGGAUAAUAUUUUGAACCGCAUGGUUCAAAAGUGAAAGACGGUCUUGCUGUCACUUAUAGAUGGAUCCGCGCUGCAUUAGCUAGUUGGUAAGGUAACCGCUUACCAAGGCAACGAUGCAUAGCCGACCUGAGAGGGUGAUCGGCCACACUGGAACUGAGACACGGUCCAGACUCCUACGGGAGGCAGCAGUAGGGAAUCUUCCGCAAUGGGCGAAAGCCUGACGGAGCAACGCCGCGUGAGUGAUGAAGGUCUUCGGAUCGUAAAACUCUGUUAUUAGGGAAGAACAUAUGUGUAAGUAACUGUGCACAUCUUGACGGUACCUAAUCAGAAAGCCACGGCUAACUACGUG
rnacentral:rRNA from 1 species